rnacentral:rRNA from 1 species
CCCUUAGAUGUUCUGGGCUGCACGCGCGCUACACUGAUGCACUCAACGAGUUUACGACCUUGCCCGAUAGGGUUGGGUAAUCUUUUUAAAAUGCAUCGUGAUGGGGAUAGAUUAUUGCAAUUAUUAAUCUUCAACGAGGAAUUCCUAGUAAGCGCGAGUCAUCAGCUCGUGCUGAUAACGUCCCUGCCCUUUGUACACACCGCCCGUCGCUCCUACCGAUUGAGUGCUCAGGUGAAUAAUUCGGACUGCAGCAAUGUUUGGAUCCCGAACGUUGCAGCGGAAAGUUUAGUGAACCUUAUCACUUAGAGGAAGGAGAAGUCGUAACA